rnacentral:ncRNA from 2 species
CGAUAGCGCUCGGGGGGCCAGGGCUAGCCUGGCUGAGAUAGCGACCCUUCACGUCGCUGACCCGUGGAACCUGACCUGGGUUAUGCCAGCGUAGGGAAGCGACCGCAGCCAUUA